rnacentral:lncRNA from 1 species
GCCUUUUCUUGGGCCGCUCCUUGCAGCAUAUGGAGGUUCCCAGGCUAGGGACUGAAUCAGAGCUGUAGCCGCUGGCCUACACCACAGCCACAGCAACGUGGGAUCUGAGCUGCAUCUGCGACCUACAGCACAGCUCACAGCAACGCCGGGUCCUUAACCCACUGAGCAAGGCCAGGGAUCGAACCUACAACCUCAUGGUUCCUAGUCGGAACCCACUGAGCCACAACGGGAACUCCUGGAAACUGAUCUUCCAAUGUCUGAGGGGUGAAGGAAGCUGCUUCGGCCUCCAUGUCCCUUUGCCUUCCACAGUUCCUCUGCCUGAGCCCUCCCCUCCCUCAGAGGCCUGGCUCUGGGGGGUCUCUUCAAGCAGGUGUGCUGAGGUGAUAGGUUCUCUUCCUCAGCCCUGUUCUGCAGGAGCUUCUGGAGAUGCAAGUCACAAGGAGAGUGCAUUUCCGAAUCAUUCGGGAGGAAAGGAGGGACACUCACCAAGCAAGUGAGGUGGACAAUCAGUGAAACUUCCUGGGACUGUUCAGAGUCACAGGACAGCACAGGCUCCUAAACCUGCUGGAGCAUCACAGACAAACCAGAGCAGCUGCAGAGUCCUUGGCAGUUCCCAGUUUCAAUUUCUUUAAUAGAUAUAAAGGCUCCUCAAGUUCUUUAUUUCUUCUUUAGUGAGUUUGGAUAAUUUGUAUAUUCAUAUUUUCUAUUCGUUUCAUCUAAGUUGUAAAAAAUUUAUUGGCACAAAGUUGUUCAUAAUAUUCCUUUUAAAUAUCAGUAUAAUCUAUAGAGGUGUCACCUCUCAUUCCUGAUACUGUUGGCUGGUGGUUUCUUUUUUUCUACUCAGCCUUGCCAGAAGUUUAUCAAGUUGAUCUGAAAUAAACAGCUUUUGGUUUUAUUCUAUUUUUUAUGUUCCACUGAUUUCCGCUUUGAAUUUAAUUGGCUCUUUUUUGCUGCAAUUUAUUGGAAUUUUAGCACACAGCAGAAAUAAAUGCAUGGGUUCGCUUCAUGUUUAUCCAGAAAUCAGAGAUGUGAUUUGAGGGAGAGAGGUGGUGAACUCUGUUUUAGUUCCACUUUCUGACUCUUCUAUUUGAAUUGAUGGAACAGCUAUUUGUAGAUUCUCCUAGGCUGGAAACCUUGGAGUUAUUUAGUGUUUAAGAAUGUUGGUUCUGCAGUUUGACAGAUUUAUAUCCUAAGUCUUCCCUCUUCUUAAUCAUGAAACCCCAAAGAGUAACUUAAUGCCCCUAAAUCUCAGCCUGCUCAUCUGUACAAAGGAAGUAAUGAUAUUAUCUUUUCUCAUAAUAAGAUAAUCCACGUGGAAACUCUUCGCUCCAUGCCUAACCUGAAGAGCUUGAUAAAUGUUAGCUAUUAUUUAUUUAUUACUUUUUCAUUUCAUCACAAAAAUCCAUCCUGUCCUAAAGAACCCUUUAUCAUUUAAGGAUUUUGUCAUAUUACCCCCUCCUGUUAAGUAAACUUCAGUCUUUCCAGCUCCUCUCAAGAGUGUGGUAGCUGGAGUUCCUGCCGUGGCUCAGUGGGUAACGAACCCCACUAGUAUCCAUAAGGACACAGGUUCAAUUCCUGGCCUUGCUCAGUGGGUUAAGGAUUUGGCAUUGCUGUGAGCUGUGACCACGGCUCAGAUCCUGCAGCUGCGAUUGGACCCCUAGCCUGGGAACCUCCAUAUGCCACAGGUGCGGCCCUAAAAAGACCAAAAAAAAAAAAAGAGUGUGGUAGCUAAAUGUAUAUAAGAUAGCUUUUGUUUUAGAGGAAAUCAUCCCAAAAUUAUUCACUUCAAAUAAAGAACUUUUUUUUUUUCCUCCUCACAAUUCUUUGUGUUGGCUGGGUCAUCCAGGCCAAUUCGUAUAGAGCUGGAUGAUAUAGAAUGGUUUCACUGGUGACUGGCUCAAUGUCAGCUAAGACUCAGCCACGUAUCUCUAAUUGUCUAGCAGGCUAACAUAGGCUUCUCUGUGUGGGAAAAGGAUUCCCAAGAGGAAGCAAGCUCUGAUCACCAAGCUUCUCCCCCCUUAGGACCCAGCAGGUAUUUUGCACAUGGCUACACUAAGAAUCAUUUUAUGUCACUUGUUUCCCCCUUGCCUUGUCGUUUCCAAGCACUUCUUAUUUAUGCUGUCCUCCCAUGUGAAUGUAACCUUUUAUCUUGGCAAAGAACUAAGGAAGAAAAAUCUCCCUCUCCGGAUAUGAGGGGAUCCCUGCCUUGAAGUCCCUGAGGUCCCUGGAUAACCUGCCUAACCCCUCUGGGACUCAGUCCUGCCUCGGCUCUGCCAGUUCUAUCAUACUUCUACUCGUCCCCAUUCCAGGUAGAGCCUGAGCCUCCACAUCUGUUGCAACCCUACUCCACAUCAACACAGGCCCAGCUCUGCCACCUGCCACCAGGGCAGCCCACCUUUCCUCCUAGUCUGCCCUACCUCCACCUAAGCACAGCCCCCUGACCUGUGGGAACAGCUGAUCCCCAGCUCUGAGCCUCUCUGCUCCUGCUGACUGAGCUCAGAACUCCCAUUCUGACAGCAGGUAUGGGCCAGCCCUGGGGACCCAGGGAGAGCAAUCCCCACCAGUCCCCUGCCCUGUGAGCUCACUAAAUCCAAGGAGACGGAGAACCAGUGGGUGGAGCUGAUGAGUGACUAGAUCCUGCAAGUAGCGACUCAUC